rnacentral:lncRNA from 10 species
GAGGCUGAGGUGGGAGGAUCAUUUGAGUCCAGGAGUUUGAGGCCUGGGCAACAUAGUAAGACCUUGUCUUUUUUUUUUUUUUUUUUUUUUUUAAAAAAAAAGGAUAUGCAUAAUUUAAUGUGGAGAAAGGAGAACUCUCAUAUACUGUUGGUGGGAAUGUAAAUUAGUACAGCCAUUAUGGAAAACAGUAUGGAGGAUGCUCAGAAAACUAAAAAAUAGAACCACCAUAUAAUCCAACAGUCCCA